AUUACACUCAGUGGAGUUGUUUCUGGGUGUAUAAUGACUUAGUUAAGAGGAGGCAUCAUAUGUGAGUAGGGCUUGGGUAUAACAAGUGCAGUAUGUAAAGGUGACAGUUAUUUAUUUCACUGCCAUUUUGGAUUUGUUACUUCUUAUAGGUAUAGUUUGAGUCAUCUUAUUUGACAGUUUGGACAGUACAGGAGUGAUCAUUUAAAAAGUCARUUUUGCAACAUAUUCCACUUGUUUUUCCACAGCAAACUUUUUUGGAAAACUGUGUCUCCAUCCUUCGAUGUAUGGUGCUCAGUUCACUUCUCCUCAAAGGUUUUGCUUGGAGAUGAGCGUGAUCAGUUGCUGCUUCUCGGCUGAGAGGCAGUUAUUUCGGGAGAUGCCUUAUCUCAGUUGCUUCUUGCUUGUCUGUCUGCAUCUGGAGCUCUGUUGCAGUCCUGACACCRUCAUAUACUGAGAUACAUUUUAAAGGAAUGCAGACAAUAUUAAUUGUUUCUGCUUUUUAAUUAUGUUUUUAAUUCUAGCAACAGAUGUAAUAAAUCACUGUAUAUAAAAUAAAUGUGCUUUUUC
rnacentral:lncRNA from 1 species